rnacentral:rRNA from 1 species
UACAGAGGUCCCAAGCGUUGUUCGGAUUCACUGGGCGUAAAGGGCGCGUAGGCGGCGCUCCAAGUUAGGCGUGAAAGCCCCGGGCUCAACCUGGGAAUAGCGCUUAAGACUGGAGUGCUCGAGUGCGGAAGAGGUGAGUGGAAUUCCCAGUGUAGAGGUGAAAUUCGUAGAUAUUGGGAAGAACACCAGUGGCGAAGGCGGCUCACUGGUCCGCAACUGACGCUGAGGCGCGAAAGCGUGGGGAGCAAACAGG